CCUACGGGAGGCAGCAGUGAGGAAUAUUGGUCAAUGGCCGAGAGGCUGAACCAGCCAAGUCGCGUGAGGGAAGACGGCCCUACGGGUUGUAAACCUCUUUUGUCGGGGAGCAAAGCGAACCACGUGUGGUUCAUUGAGAGUACCCGAAGAAAAAGCAUCGGCUAACUCCGGGCCAGAAGCCGCGUUAAUACGGAGGAUGCGAUCGUUAUCCGGAUUUAUUGGGUUUAAAGGGUGCGCAGGCGGAGGUGCAAGUCAGCGGUCAAAUUGCGGGGCUCAACCCCGUACUGCCGUUGAAACUGCAUCCCUUGAGUGCGCGAGAGGUAUGCGGAAUGCGUGGUGUAGCGGUGAAAUGCAUAGAUAUCACGCAGAACUCCGAGUGCGAAGGCAGCAUACCGGCGCGCAACUGACGCUCAUGCACGAAAGCGUGGGUAUCGAACAGGAUUAGAUACCCGAGUAGUC
rnacentral:rRNA from 1 species